rnacentral:rRNA from 1 species
UGCAGUCGACGAUUAAACUUUCCUUCGGGAAAGAUAUAAAGUGGCGCACGGGUGAGUAACACGUAAGUAAUCUACCUUCGAGUGGGGAAUAACGUCCGGAAACGGACGCUAAUACCGCAUAAUGCAGCGGCAUCGCAAGAUGACAGUUGUUAAAGAUUUAUCGCUUGAAGAGGAGCUUGCGGCAGAUUAGCUUGUUGGUAAGGUAACGGCUUACCAAGGCUACGAUCUGUAUCCGGUCUAAGAGGACGGUCGGACACACUGACACUGAAUAACGGGUCAGACUCCUACGGGAGGCAGCAGUCGGGAAUUUUGGGCAAUGGGGGAAACCCUGACCCAGCAACGCCGCGUGAAGGAUGAAGUAUUUCGGUAUGUAAACUUCGAAAGAAUAGGAAGAAUUAAUGACGGUACUAUUUAUAAGGUCCGGCUAACUACGUGCCAGCAGCCGCGGUAAUACGUAGGGACCAAGCGUUGUUCGGAUUUACUGGGCGUAAAGGGCGCGUAGGCGGCAUUGUUAGUCACUUGUGAAAUCUCCGGGCUUAACUCGGAACGGCCAAGUGAUACUGCAGUGCUAGAGUGCGGAAGGGGCAAUCGGAAUUCUUGGUGUAGCGGUGAAAUGCGUAGAUAUCAAGAGGAACACCAGAGGUGAAGACGGGUUGCUGGGCCGACACUGACGCUGAGGCGCGAAAGCCAGGGGAGCAAACGGGAUUAGA